GAUAAGAUGACUGAAUUAUUUAGGUAAUAAAUUGUAAAUUUAUGUAUGGCGAUAGCCUCUUAUCA
rnacentral:tRNA from 1 species